UGAGGAAUAUUGGUCAAUGGGCGGCAGCCUGAACCAGCCAUCCCGCGUGAAGGAAGAAUGCGCUAUUCGUUGUAAACUUCUUUUUCAGGGGGAUAAAAUUCUGUAUGUAUACAGGACUGAAGGUACCCUGAGAAUAAGCAUCGGCUAACUCCGUGCCAGCAGCCGCGGUAAUACAGAGGAUGCGAGCGUUAUCCGGAUUUAUUGGGUUUAAAGGGUGCGUAGGCGGAAUAAUAAGUCAGUGGUGAAACCCUGCAGCUUAACUGUAGACUUGCCAUUAAUACUGUUUAUCUUGAGUAUGGUCAAGGCAGGCGGAAUGUGUGAUGUAGCGGUGAAAUGCUUAGAUAUUACAGAGAACACCGGUAGCGAAGGCAGCUUGCAGGGCCGUUACUGACGCUGAUGCACGAAAGCGUGGGGAU
rnacentral:rRNA from 1 species